UACGUAGGGUGCAAGCGUUGUCCGGAAUUAUUGGGCGUAAAGAGCUCGUAGGCGGUUUGUCGCGUCUGCUGUGAAAACGCGAGGCUCAACCUCGCGCCUGCAGUGGGUACGGGCAGACUAGAGUGCGGUAGGGGAGAUUGGAAUUCCUGGUGUAGCGGUGGAAUGCGCAGAUAUCAGGAGGAACACCGAUGGCGAAGGCAGAUCUCUGGGCCGUAACUGACGCUGAGGAGCGAAAGCUAGGGGAGCAAACGGG
rnacentral:rRNA from 1 species